CGUGCAAAGGUAGCAUAAUCAUUUGCCCUAUAAUUGAGGGCUAGUAUGAAUGGUUUGACAAGAAUAAUGCUGUCUCCAUAAAAAUUUUUAGAACUUAUUUUUUAGGUGAAGAAACCUAAAUAAGAUUAAAAGACAAGAAGACCCUAUCGAGCUUUAAAUUUAUUUAUAAAAUAAAAAAAAUUUAUAAUAUUUUUAAUUAUAAAAAAUUUUGGUUGGGGCGACUAAGGAACAAAAAAAGCUUCUUUUAAAAAUAUAGAUUUGUGAAUUGUGAUCCAUUAUUAUAAUGAUUAAAAGAAUUAGUUACCGUAGGGAUAACAGCAUAAUCCUUUUUGAGAGUUCUUAUCGAAAAAAGGGUUUGUGACCUCGAAUGUU
rnacentral:rRNA from 1 species